rnacentral:rRNA from 1 species
AAUGAGGGAAACCUUGAUGCAGCCAUGCCGCGUGUGUGAAGAAGGCCCGAGGGUUGUAAAGCACUUUCAAUUGUGAGGAAAGGUUAGUCGCUAAUAUCGGCUAGCUGUGACGUUAACUUUAGAAGAAGCACCGGCUAACUCUGUGCCAGCAGCCGCGGUAAUACAGAGGGUGCAAGCGUUAUUCGGAAUUACUGGGCGUAAAGCGCGCGUAGGCGGACUGUUAAGUCGGUUGUGAAAGCCCUGGGCUCAACCUAGGAACUGCAUCCGAUACUGGCAAUCUAGAGUUUAGGAGAGGGAAGUGGAAUUCCUGGUGUAGCAGUGAAAUGCGUAGAUAUCAGGAGGAACAUCAGUGGCGAAGGCGACUUCCUGACCUAAAACUGACGCUGAGGUGCGAAAGCGUGGGUAGCGAACGGGAUU